rnacentral:rRNA from 1 species
GUUCUACCUUGACGAAUCGUAGUUUAAAGAAGUGUUUUCUGUUAGAGGAGUAGCAAAAGUUCCUUGGAAUGGGACAUCAUAGAGGGUGAGAAUCCCGUAUUUGGUUACUUUUUCUAGCUUUGUGAUACACUUUCAAAGAGUCGGAUUGUUUGGGAAUGCAGUCCAAAAUGGGUGGUAAAUUUCAUCUAAAGCUAAAUAUUGGCGAGAGACCGAUAGCGAACAAGUACCGUGAGGGAAAGAUGAAAAGAACUUUGAAAAGAGAGUUAAACAGUACGUGAAAUUGUCAAAAGGGAAGCGUUUGACACCAGUGUUGUUUUUCCGAAAAUCAAUUAAGAACGGCUUGAUUUUGUGUUGUAUUGACCUUAUCAGCUUUCUUCACUCUUUUUCGAGUCUUUCUU